UUAAAUAUUUUAUUAUAAAAAAACUUCCCGUUAUUUUAAAACGAAACUGUUGCCGAAUUCUGCGAAAUUCGGCUAGCGGCUAGGUUAUGUACAAUCCGAUUCGGUUUGGUUAAAUAUUAGUUCGCAUAGAAAUAUAUAGAGGUCGCUAUUUUAGAAUAAACCAUGAAUAUAUAAAAUACAUAGAUUGGGUAUUAACCGUAUUUGUUCAGUUUGUUCUUUUCAACUUCUUGCACUUUUCGUUUUUUUUCUUCUCUUUCUCUCCAAUUUUUAAAUAUAUAUAAUUAUCUCAUUUCGUUCCAGUAAGCUCAGUUAAAAAGAACAAACCUAAUAUUGAUCGAUUUUGUUGAGAAUUAUUUAUAUAUUUUUUCGAAAACACGCAGCAAUAACGCAUCGGUCUUCGUCGUUUAUUUCACGAUCCAAGAUAUGUUUUCUUCGUCUCUCCACGAGAAUCUUUUUUCGAAGCGAGUCGCAAGGAUGCCGAAAUCAAGGAAUUCUCAAGAAAUGAGAUACCAGUUUAUCGAGGUGCAUACUCGCCUUUACUGAAUACUCCAAAUGCCAAGGAGACAGCAUCCGAGGAAUAUCAUGGAUCCGAUGGAUUUGGAGAUGUGUACACUGGUGAGCCAGAUAUGGAUAGACUGCAGAAGGAACAUGCCGUGUGCGCUCUGCACAGAAUUAUAACAGAGGAUCCUGGUAACGUCUCUGUGGUCUGUUUGGGUCCCUUGAC